rnacentral:rRNA from 1 species
UACGGAGGGUGCAAACGUUGCUCGGAAUUAUUGGGCGUAAAGCGCACGUAGGCGGUUCGUUAUGUCGGAUGUGAAAGCCCUCGGCUUAACCGAGGAAGUGCAUCCGAAACUGGCGAGCUUGAGUAUGGAAGAGGGUCUCGGAAUUCCCGGUGUAGAGGUGAAAUUCGUAGAUAUCGGGAGGAACACCAGUGGCGAAGGCGGAGACCUGGGCCAAUACUGACGCUGAGGUGCGAAAGCUAGGGGAGCAAACGGG